ACGGGAGGCAGCAGUGGGGGAUAUUGCACAAUGGGGGAAACCCUGAUGCAGCGACGCCGCGUGAGUGAUGAAGUAUUUCGGUAUGUAAAGCUCUAUCAGCAGGAAAGAUAAUGACGGUACCUGACUAAGAAGCACCGGCUAAAUACGUGCCAGCAGCCGCGGUAAUACGUAUGGUGCAAGCGUUAUCCGGAUUUACUGGGUGUAAAGGGAGCGCAGACGGCAUGGCAAGCCAGAUGUGAAAGGCAGGGGCUCAACUCCUGGACUGCAUUUGGAACUGUCAAGCUAGAGUAUCGGAGAGGUAAGUGGAAUUCCUAGUGUAGCGGUGAAAUGCGUAGAGAUCAGGAAGAACACCGAUGGCGAAGGCAGCUUGCUGGGGACUUAUCGACGCUCAUGCUCGAAAGUGCGGGUAGCAAACAGGAUUAGAUACCCUGGUA
rnacentral:rRNA from 1 species